rnacentral:lncRNA from 1 species
AGUAGCGCAGCGAGAAGGAUCGCCAUCACACGGCGCACUGGUGCGGCUUCUCCCCCGAGUGGAUGAACAUGUGCUUGGUGUAGUUUUUCCUUGAGCUGAACGUCUUGCAACAGUGGCCGCACACAUAGCUGCCCCAGAUCCCAGAAGAAAAUCUCUCCCACACCACUGUAGUCAGAGAGGCCAGUGGGUGCAUGGAACUCCUCGCACGCGCUGUCAGCAGCAGCAGUGAGGAAGCCGGCAGCACAGUCUGGGAAGGAAGGAGGUGCUUGGCUCUCUCCCGGGCCGCCACCUUCGCCGUCCUCGCCAUCGGUCUCAUCGUCAGUUUCCUCGUCAUCGUUGUCACCUCGGUCGUCAGGGGCCGCGGACAGUGAGGGGUAGGCACCAAGCCCCUCGGCUUUGGCAGGUGUCGGGGGCGCAGGCAGCUGCAAACUCGCGGGCUGGCGCUGCUUACCGCUGUGCGCGGCACCGGGGUGCCCCGGGGGUGCGCAGCCAGCAGGUGGCGCAGGCGGUGACGCAGCUGCUCAGGUGCGAGUGGCGGGGGCACAGGGGUGGGCAGGGGCGCGGGUGCAGAGGUGCUCGCGGGUGCAGAGGAGCGCGUGCGAUAAUCUGCGUGCAUUCGUCGAUAACUGUCUAUGCGAAGCACCGACGCAGCCAUGAGUACCUGCAGGGCUUCACUCUGUGCCACAACGAGCGAACCGCUGUACAGGAGCUCGACUAGCUGUCGCACCGUCUGCACAGGCACCACCGAAGGCACACGGAUCUCAGAGUGGCCGAGCAGCAGCUUGUCUUGGAAGGAGGGCGAGCCGAUUGCCAGCCCGCAGCGGUGCGCACGCAGCGAAGCUUCAUGAAUGCACACAGUCACGUCGCAGAAGUGCCCACCCAGCUUCUGCCCAUUGAGGGUCUCAAGCAGAGAGCGUGAGAAGUUCUGCAGAUGUAUGUGGCGCACAGCCUCUACAGCCGCCGACUCCGACUUCUCUUCAGGCACCAGGCCUGGCCGUGGCCGCCUUCUCACCGACUCCAAGGCAGCACUUCCGGGCGCUUCUCUUUAUUUUUAUACAGUUUUAUUGAGAUAUAAUUUACAUGCUAUCCAGCCCAUCUAUUUCAAGUGUACCAUGCAAGGGGUUUGUAUAUAUUCACAGAGUUGUGUAUCCAUCACCAUCGUUUUAGAACAUUGAUCACUCCAGAAGAAACUACGUACCCAUCAGCAGCCACUGCCCAUUUCCCUGAUCUGCCCCGCCCUAGGAAAUCCGUAAUCACUUUCAGUCUAUGGAUUUGCCUAUUCUAGACCAUUCAUAUAAAUGAAGUCACACAACGCUGGGUCUUAUGUGACUGGCUUCUAUCAAAGUUUGCAAGGUUCAUUUAUGUUCAUGCUGAUGAUAUAAACUGGCUCAUUUGAUGCCAAGACUGACCAUCACCACCAUACCAAGGUCAUCACUGAUCAGAGGCCUAACCCAAGGAGGGGGUCAUGUGCAGACCCAGCUGUGGGGAGGAAAGAUGCUGCAGAGGAGACGGAUGCCCACAGAGGCCCCUGAGUGGAUACAAUGCUCACUAAGUGGGCUGACCCCACAUUGGACACCGCUGCAUCCAUGUCCAUCACACAACACAGCUGCCGUUUCUUCUGCCUGCUUAUGGGAAAGUCCCCUCUUCUCCGUUUUCUUCUCUUCCUGCCCUAUCACACCGUGCACUUCUCCCUUUCCUUAAAGAACCACCGUCAACUUUAGGAGGAGGGAAAGGGGUGGCUCUGGCAGGAAAAGCCAGAAUCCCCUCUAGCCAGCAGAGAGAGAGGAAUGGCUGCAUGUUUUCUCCCCCAGUCCAAGGCACUGGGUCUUGGCUGGGUUGAAGGUUCAGAGCUGCUCUCCUGCUGUGUCGGUGAGUUCUGGUCAACCUGCAACCUCCUGAUGUGGCCAUUGCAGUUCAUCGAGUCUUCAGGGACUCCCCAUGGCCUGGAGUACUUUGCCUUGCUUACACGGGAGAGGAGAAUGGAUUUAUAGAGAACAUCAACUAAAUCCAACUUGAGCAUUGUGUGGCCACACUUGCUAGAUUGCUAUAGUCUAAAUCUAGCAUUGUAGAAAGACGGGGGAGCUUGGAGCCGCACAAACCCAGGUCUGGAACUGGCUCCUUACCUUGAAAGGUGAAUGAUCCUGGCAGGACUCUUAGCCUCCCUGGGUCUCAAUUUCUUUAUCUGUUUCAUGGGAAUGAGGAUCUCUGCUGGGUGGUUGGGUGAUGCGGGGGCUGUGUGAAAACAGCUUGUCAAUACAAGCCAAAAUAGAAAUAUUUCUCCACAGAGUAUGAAGGUCAAAUGAGAGAAUACAUUUAAAUUAAAUGGAAAAUUAAAAUGGUAAAAAAUGCAAAGCUGUAUUGAAAGUUCCGAGCUUCUCUAUAAGGAGCUUUUUGACUAUGUAGGAAUCCUGUACUCGUUCCCCCUAAAUAU